rnacentral:lncRNA from 1 species
AUGAAAACAUCUGGUCUCCCACGUCAUACUUCAUGCCAGCUGAUACAGACCAGGAAGAGAAGCAGACGGAAGGUGAUGGCAUCAGCUAUCUACAUGCCAGCCACAAUCCAGACAUGCUGGAAGGACACUUCUUUGUCAUGUAUAACUCUUCGUGAUCCCAUUUGGAUUUUCUUGGCCAAGAUACUGGAGUGGUUUGUCAAUUCCUUUUCAAGCUCAUAUGACAGAGAAGACAAUGACUUCUAGAAGUGAUUACCAACAGCAGUCUUUUAUUCCAAAAUGGCCAGGCAAAAGAAAAAUUAAACCUCAGUGAAAAAUUCCUCUGAAAAGCUCAGAAAGGAAAAGGAAAAAAUCUUUCACAAAGUAAUAACAGGAGUGGCAAAACAAAAGCAUUAAAAGACCAUCUGAUUUUAUUAGUGGGAGCCACAAAUGCAAGGAAAUGCAGAUAAGAAUCAUACCUCCACUCAAUGAAGUGCAGCAGGAAGCCAUUAAGGAGAAGGAUUUGUCGAUUUUCUGGCGAUUUACUCCUUCACCGAGUUUGUCUUACAACUUUAAUGCUAUUUUAAUGUUGCACUUACUCUGUGAAUUUCUGAGAAUAAAAUUUUAUUUAGUUAUCA